rnacentral:lncRNA from 1 species
AUGAUCCUCUGUAUUUCAGUGGUAGCAGUUGUAACAUCUCCAUUUUCAUCUGUCAUUUUAAUUUAUUUGAACUUUUUCUUUUUUUUAAUAGUCUGGCCAGAGGUUAUCUAUUUUGUUUAUCCUUUCAAAAAACCAACUUUUUGUUUUGUUGAUCUCUUGAUCGUAGCUCUGGGGCUCGUAUCCAGAAACUCCCACAGUUGCAGGAUACUGGGGAUCUGUCCUUCGCCGCACACAUUGGCCCUGACCGUGUCUGGUGCUGGUAGGAAAACAGGCGCACUGGGUGAAUUUUCACUGCCUCGUCUGGCACUCUGGGAGAAGAAGGAAACAGGUGCUUCCCUGCUGCAAGCCCAGCAGUCACUCAGACCCCAGUCAGCUCUCCAGGCUGAAGUGAAAUCAUACAAGCUGUCCAGCUCCAGAUGGUCAUGAAACAGGACUUGCAGUCUAUCUUCAGAUGAUAUGACCAGUCCUCUGGACCAUGCAAGACUAUUUCUCAGGCCGCCUUGGAACACCAUAAGACAGACAGCAAGAGACAAACCCCACAACCAGCUCUAUGCCCAUAUGUCAGUUCUGAAGAGAAUGCAGAAGCUGGACCUUCAUCCAUGUUACCCCCAUAAGAGUAUGGGUUACUUCUCUUGAGGGAAAAUUGUUAAGUAGCUACAUAGACAUAGGCCUAUGUGUGAGGGGCUGAAGAAAAUGACAAUUUCUGUGUGAUGGAACAAGAAAGUAGGACUUGGAAGCAAACUCGCAUUUACAUAUCAAAAGUCUUGCCAUGGGGCCAUCGCUGUGGCACAGCAGGUUAAAGGCCCAGCCCACAGCACCAGUAUGGGUGCUGGUUUGAGCCCUGACUGCUGCACUUCCAAUCCAGCUUCCUGCUAAUAUGCCUGGGAAAGCAGUGGAGGAUGGCCCAAGUGCUUGGGCACCCAUGUUGGAGACCCAGAGGAGGCUCCUGGCUUCAGAUCAGCUGAGCUUGCAGCCAUUUGGGGAGUGAACCAGCAGAUGGAAGACUCUCUCUCUCUCUCUCUCUCUCUCUCUCUACCUCUCUACCUCUCUCUUAACUCUCAAAUAAAUAAAAUAAAAAUAAAUCUUAAAAAAAAAAA